rnacentral:lncRNA from 1 species
GUGCUGUAAGGAGCUAUUCACAGGGCUUGUCCCAGUGACAGCAGACACCCGAUACUCGCAGGCUGGGUCUUGUAAGCUCAUACUUUUUAUCAAGGAGAGGUGCAGGGAGAAUUUGCUGCUUCAAAGACUUUUCCCACAGCAACGGAGCUAUGAGCUCGUGCUGUUUGCAGCCAGACGCUGAUGCUCUGUGCAGUGAGAUGGAGGUGCCUGGAGGAGUGGCUGGGUGGCUGGAGAAGCUGCGUGAGGACAUCGAGUCUGAAGCCAAGAACCUGGGGUAUUUUGAGUGAAGUCAGUGGAAAGUCUCCCAGUGGCUUCAACAGAAGUUACAUCAAGCACCGAUCAGAACGUGGAUCCAUGCGAAUGACAGCCAUUUCUGGAACAUCCUCCCUUGAACAAAAAGUACAGUCACUUUAGUGACAGAGCGUGCAGGAACAGCUCCUGAGGGUGACUUCUCAGCCUUGCAUGAGUAGGAAGAAAAAAUAUGGUACUAGUAUUUCUCACAGCAAGUUGCCAGGUAAACAACCAUUAGACAUAUUUCAUCGUACAGAAAUCAAUUCUAUGUAAGACACAUACAAACAUUCUCAGUUGCUGCUUGCAGGAC